rnacentral:rRNA from 1 species
CCUACGGGUGGCUGCAGUGAGGAAUAUUGGUCAAUGGACGAGAGUCUGAACCAGCCAAGUAGCGUGAAGGAUGACUGCCCUAUGGGUUGUAAACUUCUUUUAUAUGGGAAUAAAAUGUUCCACGUGUGGGAUUUUGUAUGUACCAUAUGAAUAAGGAUCGGCUAACUCCGUGCCAGCAGCCGCGGUAAUACGGAGGAUCCGAGCGUUAUCCGGAUUUAUUGGGUGUAAAGGGAGCGUAGGUGGAUUGUUAAGUCAGUUGUGAAAGUUUGCGGCUCAACCGUAAAAUUGCAGUUGAAACUGGCAGUCUUGAGUACAGUAGAGGUGUGCGGAAUGCGUGGUGUAGCGGUGAAAUGCUUAGAUAUCACGAAGAACUCCGAUUGCGAAGGCAGUUCACUGGACUGCAACUGACACUGAGGCUCGAAAGUGUGGGUAUCAAACAGGAUUAGAUACCCCAGUAGUC